GGGCUGGGGCUCUUCCCAAGGAGCAGGGAACUGCCUCAACCUGACCCUGGCACUCACGGUGGUGUUUUGGUUUUAUUUUUUUUGGUUUUUUUGUUUUUUUUUUUCUGCCCAAGCUGCAACCAGGACAACCAGGGCACUCGUGGCUGGCCCUGCACCUCUGCCUUAUGCAAUGGGGAUUAAUUGGAGUAGGUGGAGAAGAAUUUCUUGGCUGCUUAUCAAGGGUGAGGCUCCAGGAGCUGCUUGGUGGCUCGUGAUAGGUGAGAGGAGCUGGGGGCACUGCCCAGCUCAGGGAAAUCAUCUCCUCAAGCCCUGAUAAAGUUCAGCUCCCUCCCACAGAGCUGCUCCAGCUCCGGGCCUCGGGCUCAGCAGCAGCCACCCAGCAGAUUCCUCGGGCAGUCUGUCCUCCUAAAUUCUGAUUUUGGUUAUUCCCGGGCUGUUUGUUCUCCUAAAUUCUGAUUUUGGUUAUUCCUUAGGCAGCUUGUCCUCCUAAAUUCUUAUUUAGGUUAUUCCUUAGGCAGUUUGUUCUCCUAAAUUCUUAUUUAGGUUAUUCCUUAGGCAGUUUGUUCUCCUAAAUUCUUAUUUUGGUUAUUCCUUAGGCAGUUUGUCCUCCUAAAUUCUUAUUUUGGUUAUUCCUGGGCUGUUUGUUUUCUUAAAUUCUUAUUUAGGUUAUUCCUUGGGCAGUUUGUCCUCCUGAAUUCUUACUUUGGUUAUUCCUGGGCUGUUUGUUCUCCUGAAUUCUGAUUUUGGUAAUUCCUCGGGCAGUUUGUACUCUUUAAUCCAGGUUCUCAUUAUUCCAUGGCCAGUUUGUCCUCUUAAAUUCAGGUUUUGGUUAUUCCUUGGGCAGUCUGUCCUCCUAAAUUCUGAUUCUGGUUAUUCCUUGGGCACUUUGUCCUGCUGAAUCCAGGUUUUGGUUGUUCCUCGUGCUUUUAGUUCUGUUCAAUCCUGAUUUUUGUUAUCCCUGGGAUUUUUAUUUCUUGAUUUUGGUUAUUCUUUGGGCAGUUUGUCCUCUUGAAUCUUGCUUUUGGUUACUCCUUGGGUUGCUGGAUCCUGGUUUUAUCUGCUCCUUGGGCUGUUAGUCCUGUUGAACCUGACUUUUGGUUAUUCCUUGUAUUGUUAGUCCUGGUUUUAUCUGCUCCUUGGGCUCUUAGUCUUGUUGAACCUGAGUUUUGGUUAUUCCUUGGUUUGUUAGUCCUGUUGAACCUGGGUUUAGGUUAUUCCUUGGAUUGUUAAUCCUGUUGAACCUGACUUUUGGUUAUUCUUUGGGCAGUUAGUCCUGGUUUUAUCUGUUCCUUGGGCUCUUAGUUCUGCUUUACCCACAGGUGAAUAUUGGCUGAUGCAAACUGCAGCCUGUGUGGGCUCCUCUGGGAGCUUUGAACCCCUUCAGAGCAGCUCAGAUCCACC